rnacentral:misc_RNA from 1 species
GGCAGUUUUUUCGACGAUGGAGGUAAAGGAGGAUGCGUGACGUCGUCGAGUUUCAAAUAAACAUAAAAUAUAUAUGUGAUUAUAUUGUUAAUAGUAACAAUAAUUAUUUAUAAAGAGUGUCAAAGUGUACUACUUAAUAAUAUAUUAAAUUACAAGCUAGGAUACAACAGAGUGGUUCCAUGGAAGGUACACUGGAAGAACCAGUGGUCAAAGACCCGUCUUGUGACAGUGAUGUAGCCAAAGAUCAAGUUAUUCCAAACGGUAUCAAUGGAAACUAUGAUGACAAUGAGAAGCAUGACGACAUCGACGACAUGACAUCAAACAAAAUGGAUGCUGACGCAGGUAAUAACGAUGAUGACGCCGGUGGUGGUGGAGGUGAAGUAAUAGAAGAUGAAGAAGAAGAAGACGAUCCAGAUAAUGAUGACUAUCAUGGCAACAAAGAUACUGAAUUAGUUGAGCAUGAGGUUGAACAUGACGUUGGAGAAGAAAAUUUCGAGGAAGAAAACCCCGAAGAAAAUCGGGAUGAAGAGGAGGAAGAAGAGGAUGAGGGUGAUGAAGCUAAAAAGUGUGAUGAUGAAGAGGUGAUUGAGGGAGAGCUUGAGGAAAACAAAGAGUACGAAACUAUGGACGUCGACAAUCAGGAUAAUUCAGAUGUCGAGUGUCUUGAUGAAGACAACGCUCCAGAAAAUCUCAUGGAGGUGGAUGUUGAUCAUGAAAUGAAUGAUGAUGUCGAGGGUGACAAACAGGAAGACGAUAACCAGGACGAGCAUGUACAAGACAGCGACGGUAUUCAGGAAAUUGAUAAUGUCCAGAUUAUUGACGACGAGCAGAAUGAGGAAGACGAUGACGUGAGAGCUGUUUCCGAGAGCAGCGAUGUUCAGCAACUUAAUGACAGUAUUGUUUCUGUUUCAAGCACUGGAUCAGAUUUGAAAAUUUGUGAAGAGAAUGGCAGCAUUGGGAGUCCGGAUAUCGAAGAGAUAACAGACCCCAAAAGCAAUGGCCCCAGCAAGAAUAAUUUAGAGCGCACACCGGUAAAAGAGUCGAAGCCGAAAAAGGCGCGUAAACAAAUAGAUUUGAGCAACAUAACUCCUCGGCGCAGUUCUCGCAAUAUUAAGCGCACGAGUUAUAUCGAAAAGGAGCCCGAGGAGGAGGUCGAGGUCGACAACUCCUCGGACAUCGAGGAAAUAAAGCCAGAGGAUCCUCUUGCGUGUAUCGAUAGUAGUGUUAGUAUUAGCUUGACUAGUAGUAGUAGUAAUAACCAUAAUAAUAAAGAUAAAGAAAAUUCAAAAUUAAAGUCGCCUAUUAAAUCAAGCAAGACGACGAUCGUUGUCAACGACACUAAACGUCUUGUUGAAAUAGCCGCCAGCAGCAACAAAUCUUCUAAAGGAGGCGGCAAAAAAGAGCCGACUUUGGUUAUUAUUGACACUAACUCUAUUCUCUCCGGACGUGGAGGAGUUCCUAUUGGUAGCAGCCACAGUUCCAGCAGCUCCAGUAAGACUUCUCACCACCAUUCGCUAAACACUUCUGGAUUCUCAGUACUGCCAGUUAAUUUGAGCACCACCCAGACAAUGUACCCAAAUAUGCGGACGACAAUAACUCCAGUGCCGAUGACCUCCAAAACAACUGGACACCCGAGAAUACCCAGCAGUAUAACAGCUGUUCCUACGACAGUCACCUCUGUGUCGGGUUCCACGUCGGCCUCGGCCUCUCAAAUCCUCCCGACAUUAACUGACGACAUGUUUGUCGUAGAAGCGCCGUCCUUUAUCGUCCCUUAUGUAUACGAGAAGCCCCCGAUAAAGCCGCUCAAGGAGUUUGUCACCAAGCUGGAGAAGUGCAUCGAGGAGGUAGAUCGCGAGGAGAAGGCAGCAAAGGCCGCGAAGAAGGAAGCCAAGAAAGCUGAAGGAAAUCGCGACUCUUCAUCAGAGUCCGGCAAGUACGACAGUGACGACGGGGGCAGUGUUAAAAGCGUGUCCAGCAGGAAAGAAGGCGGCAGCAAUGCCAACGAUUCAAUUGAGUGUCUGGGCGAGACUAAACCAUUUGAAGAUAAAAAUAAAAUGCUGACUUACUUUGAUUUACCUCUGGGUAAAUUUUUCAUGCAAAUUGGGGUCAAUCUUGUCCAAGAGUUUGUCCAGACGGAUUUGCUGCGCUCGCAAAAGCGUAGGCAGGGCAAGACCAACCCUUCUGCGGAGACCCAGAUGGCAAUUAAUUCGCUGAUUAAGAAUCUAGAGUUUAGUAAAGAAAACAAUGAACCAUUCCACUUAGACAUGAAAAAGUGCGAGUUUUGUAAUUUUAAAACAGAGUCUGCCUUGGUCAUGCAGCACCACUUGGAGACACCUCACAUGCGGAACUACGUGUAUAAAUGUAAUUUCUGUCCUUUGGAGGUGCGCAGCCCCCAUGACAUUCUCUACCACAUGGAAGCCGAGCACAACACGCGUGGAAGACUCGAGCGCGGCCCGGCCUUCCACCAGUGCCCCAAUUGUCCCUUCGAAGACAACCAAAAGGGCAAACUGACGCGGCAUAUUCUUGCAUGUGCCAAGAAGUUCAGGCCAGAACGUAACCUCGAGCCCUCUACUGACUGGGAACCCCCGGCGAAGAUACCCAGACUGAACCGCUCGAGACAAAUCAAUCCUAUGAACACCAACGCAGCUCUGGCGUUGGCUAUGAGCGCUAAAGGACAGCAGCCCUUGUUACCCAAGUUGUUACCCGCUCCGGUGUCCGGCCGUGGCCGAGGACGACCACCCAUGCAGCCUAGGUACUCUGAUAUCAAGUCGCUGAGACCCGGCGGCACGCCCGGGCGACAAGAUAAUGUCACUGGAAUGAUGUACCGGCCGACGUCAUCUGGGCUCUUGGUACCCACUUCUUAUCAAUUCGGUAGCAAUCAAGUAUUCCAGAAUUCGUCAACGUGUGUUAAAAAUCCAGCGGCUAAGUUGUUGAGUCAGCCGAGUAUAUCGAUAACACCGUUGCCUCGCACUACUCAAGCACCUAUUUCAAGCUCUGGAUCACCAUCUAAAGCUGGAAAAACUAGUUUUGUCAUUUGUGAAAUUUGUGACGGUUAUAUCAAGGACUUGGAACAACUACGUAAUCAUAUGCAAUGGAUUCAUAAAGUUAAAAUACAUCCAAAGAUGAUUUAUAAUCGGCCACCAUUGAACUGCCAAAAAUGUCAAUUUAGAUUCUUUACAGAUCAAGGAUUAGAAAGACAUUUACUUGGAUCUCACGGACUUGUUACAUCAAGUAUGCAAGAAGCUGCUAAUAAAGGAAAAGAUGCCGGACGUUGUCCAGCUUGUGGCAGAGUUUAUCAGUGGAAAUUACUAAACCACGUAGCACGGGAUCACGGAAUGACGUUGAAGCCCGCACACUUAUCGUACAAAUGUACAGUUUGCACUGCGACAUUUGGAAUGUACAAGCAAUUUGAAAAUCACGUUUACUCCGCACAUAGUGUUGUUGCAAAGCGGGUUAUGGACAAGAAAAACACCCCGUCAACGCCGUCAUCUAGAUCCAAUGACUCGUUGCUUAAGCCAUUGAAAAUAAACGACGAAAUAACAAUAAUACCACAGCCAGCAAAGUCCACAAGAUCGAGUAGUUCUUCACAGGGACGAAGCAAAUAACAAUAGUCAACCAAGUGAUAUGUGUACUUUGAUUUUUAUCUUUUUUUCUUUACUUUCGAGAUAUAUUUCGCAGUUGAGGAAUAAAUAAAGAAACCAAGACCGAACAAGAUGUCGAUUUAUAAUUUAAUAAUGCACUUGCAUUGAACAACUUUUUAAUUAAUUUUACAAGAGAGUUUGACAAUUUUCCAAAAAAUUUAUUAAUUAUAAAUUUUUUAUUAAUUCAUCAAACAUACAUUAGUUGACUAAUUAUUCCAUCGAUUAUACUGAUCUAUUUAUUUAAGAAUUUUUAUUAUUGUUAUCGGACAUGCAUAAAAUAAUAUUAGUAACUAUGAUUAUAAUAAUGAUAAUAAUAUUAAAUAAAAAUAAUAAUUCCUAAACAAUAAAUAAUAAUAGACUGUAAAAAAAAAUAAACAUUACAUGGGUGGCCUUCAGUAAUAACUCUUUGGUUAAUCCUGAAGUCGCGUAUUUCCCAAAUCGCCUACGAGUGUAGUUUAAAAUCAGAACAGAAUAAAAAAAUAAAUAAAAAAUAACAAAAAAAAACAUACAAUUAUAUAAUUAAAUUAUAACGAUUAGAUUUCGAUAACAAUCACACACACACAGUAUAUUUGUGUUAUAUGUCGUGUAUAUUUACGCUGAAAAUUUAAUUAUAGUAUAGUUCUUUAUAUAUAUAAAUAAAUUUAUAUAUAUAUGAAUAAAUUUAUAUAUAUAUAUUCUAUAUAAUAAAUAUAUAAAUAUAUUUUAUGAGAAAGAGAUUGACGUAUGCGUUUGUGCUUCUACCCGGGAUCUCUUCAAAUUAUUAACGAAAUUAUUUUAAUCAGUAAAAUUGUUGAUUUUUUUUUAAGAAGAGACAAUUAGGGUGUUUUUUUUUUAAAUAAAAUUACAAUAUUAAGAUUUUUUUUUUUUUUUUUUUUUUUUUUUAUAAUUAAAAGCAAGGUGUUGAAAACGGCGAACAAACAUGAAUUAUUUUAAGCGUGUGUUAAGUAAUUUAUACAUGGUGUAAACGGUCGUCUUAAUAAUUGUCAUUAUCAUCACCAUUUAUCAUGAAUUCAUCCUCGUCAUAAUAAUUAUUAUUAUCAUUGUCAUAAUUUAUCGAUCGUCUUCAUUUAAAGGGUAAUUGGAUAAAAUUAAAAAAAAAUUGACAAAAUAUAAUAAAACAAAAAAAAAGAAACUGUACAUUGUAUCUAUCUAUAAGUUGGACGAAUAUUA